AAAAAAAAAAAGUCAUGUCUUCUUCAUGUUUUGGAAGAACACAAAUAGUAAAUCAGAAGUCUUAUGUCCAAACUUUUUUCUUACAUUAAAACCUGGUGAUGCCACAAACAGGCUCUGCUCCUGGAUUUUGAUGAGGGCUGCACUAUCCACAUGCUUGGUUCCCAAGAGGGUGUCUAACAAUAAGCUUUGCAAAUGGCUCAUGUUCCCUCAACUCUGAAAGGGAAACUGCAUUUGAAGCUACUGACUCUGGCUAGCUUUUAAAAGGCAUGUGAAUACAAAUGUCCCUAAGACACUUCGGACAGUUUUAAGGUCAGUUAGUGUACUUUGAAAAGAUACAGAGUGAAAACGGUGGUUCAUCAUUCAGGGCCCACCAAUAUCCAAAGAGGAAAACAGAAUCAUAGAAAAAUUGCAGCUCACAGAGUAGGUUAUGAAGCUGAGUUUGGAAAACCAUAGCCUCAUGAUUUUCUGGCCAUGUCAGUUUUACCUCAGGAUCAUUCGGGAUUUAAAAACAAACAUUGCACACUGAGAAAAACCCUGUAAAAUAAAAUAUAAAAGAAACAAAAAACAAAACCCAGCGAGGAUGGAGAGCUACCCUGCUAAGUAAACAGGACUAGAAGAGACAUGCGUGGCCACGAACCCACACAUUCCCUUCCCGGUGACCUGCAUCAGCGCCAACUAUGAACGCUGAUCAACAUCCCAAUGGACACCUUGAAGGCACUUAAACCCACAUUUCUCGCACCAGUCCCCAAGCCUUGGACCCCCUUAUUAGGACCUCCGGCAGAGGAUCCCCUUUCCCGCCACUGCCUUUCCGUGGUUUGGGCCCCGGAGCAGGACCGAAGGCGGGGCAGGGGAUGGUGAGCUGUGAAUUCCCCGACACCGAGGACUCGAGGGAACGGACGCCACCCCUCUCUCUGGUGUUCCGCAAGGGGCCAGCGACCGAGGACCCGCCUGUCAACGGACGCGGUUGGGGGGAUGGGUGGCGGCGGCGGGAUUGGCCAGGCCGCGCGCGGGUCACGGAGAAGCAGGGAGUUCAGCCCCUUCCGCAAACCAAGACCCGCCAGCUGGAGCCGCCGCCCAAUCCCUUUUGGUUUGAAGUCUUCCCCCGCCGCCCCGGUGCCGCCGGCUCGCCCUGGCUGUGGAACCCGCGGCGGAAAGGGCGGAGGGGCCGCGCGGCGCUGCGUCCGGGAGACAGUGGGCGCCAACAUUCGCGCGUUCCGCAGAGGCGGGCGGCCUCUUUUCCUGCCUCAGCCGGACGACUCCGGGGCCGCCGGGCCGGGCCCGGGUGUGGCGCAGGACGGCCGCGGGCCUGCCGGCCUUGGGAGGGCAGAGAGUUUUUCUAGGGGCCCUGUGACCACAAUGAAAAAAGUAGACAGUGAUGAUCUGGUAACCGGCACACUUCCCAAGCUCAAGAGCUCAAAAGAAUGGUUGGAGCCCAAGCCCCUUUGUUUUAUGGAGGUCUUAGCUAAAGAAGAUACUGAGGCAGCUAUUCAAUCAAUAUUAUACAGAGAAAAUUAUAUAACUAAGGAACUAGAUAAAUAUUUACAACAUCAAGCCUUCUUAAAUGCAAGAAGAAAGGAGAUGUUAUAUAAAAGAUGGGUCGACCACGUGGCACAUCCUCUUCAGAAGAAAAUUAUAGAAAAAGUUUGCUCACAGAAGAAGAUUAAAAAAAGGAGACAAGAGGAAUCAGACAGCUUUAUAAAACAUGUAAAUAAAAAGGGAAAUGCGUUUAUAGAACAUUAUGAUCCAAAGGAGUAUGAUCCCUUUUAUAUGAGCAAGAAGGACCCCAAUUUUCUGAAGGCAAAAUGUAUACAAUAAAAGAAUUCAAAGAAGUUGAGAAGGCUCAGCUGCAUUCCAGAUUCCCACAAAUUUCUAAUUCAAGGAACUUUGUGACUCCAAAUGAGUGGCUAAAACUGCCUACAGGAUACAUAGAAAGUGAAUUUUGUAAAAGGAGAAGGUUAAAGGUGAAAGUGAAUUUUAACGACUGUAGUUUUGAUUUGAAACCCUUGGCAAGAACUCCUCUUCUGGAAUCCCAGGAAGAAGGAAAAACAGUUAUUUACACAAACAAAGGGUCAUCCUGUCUAGAAAAAGAACCGUUGUGUUAUCAAAAGGCAAAGAAUCCAAGUGCCAAAGAGGCCACCUCUGAAGGGCAUUUUUCGUCCUUGAGCUUCAGCCAGGAGGGGAAACGGAAGGAAGAGCAGGAUGGGUUUUAGCAACCAAGGAGCACACACCCUGAUCCUUGAUUGGUGAAAGGAUACACAAAAUAAGGCUGCUUCAGAGGAAGUUGUCUGCUUGCGGGAGUCAGGGUGAAGGCCAAGGAAGGCACUCAAGAAUUGUCGAGUCUCUAAGAAAAAGCAUCUGCAACAAACUUCCUUUAAUUUUUAAGUUCAGUGUCUGUGAUAAUUAAGAAAUGGCAAUACCAUGUAUUUUCCCCAGAUGUUAAGAAAUAUUGCCGAGUGAACCAAUAAAAUUAAUUAUAGCUACCUUA